GGUUAAGCGACUAAGCGUACACGGUGGAUGCCCUGGCAGUCAGAGGCGAUGAAGGACGUGCUAAUCUGCGAAAAGCGUCGGUAAGGUGAUAUGAACCGUUACAGCCGGCGAUGUCCGAAUGGGGAAACCCAGUGCAAUUCGUUGCACUAUCGUUAACUGAAUACAUAGGUUAACGAGGCGAACCGGGGGAACUGAAACAUCUAAGUACCCCGAGGAAAAGAAAUCAACCGAGAUUCCCCCAGUAGCGGCGAGCGAACGGGGAGCAGCCCAGAGUCUGAAUCAGCUUGUGUGUUAGUGGAACGGUCUGGAAAGUCCGACGGUACAGGGUGAUAGUCCCGUACACCAAAAUGCACAGGCUGUGAACUCGAAGAGUAGGGCGGGACACGUGGUAUCCUGUCUGAAUAUGGGGGGACCAUCCUCCAAGGCUAAAUACUCCUGACUGACCGAUAGUGAACCAGUACCGUGAGGGAAAGGCGAAAAGAACCCCGGCGAGGGGAGUGAAAAAGAACCUGAAACCGUGUACGUACAAGCAGUGGGAGCACCUUCGGGUGUGACUGCGUACCUUUUGUAUAAUGGGUCAGCGACUUAUAUUCUGUAGCAAGGUUAACCGUAUAGGGGAGCCGCAGGGAAACCGAGUCUUAACUGGGCGUUAAGUUGCAGGGUAUAGACCCGAAACCCGGUGAUCUAGCCAUGGGCAGGUUGAAGGUUGGGUAACACUAACUGGAGGACCGAACCGACUAAUGUUGAAAAAUUAGCGGAUGACUUGUGGCUGGGGGUGAAAGGCCAAUCAAACCGGGAGAUAGCUGGUUCUCCCCGAAAGCUAUUUAGGUAGCGCCUCGUGAAUUCAUCUUCGGGGGUAGAGCACUGUUUCGGCUAGGGGGUCAUCCCGACUUACCAACCCGAUGCAAACUACGAAUACCGAAGAAUGUUAUCACGGGAGACACACGGCGGGUGCUAACGUCCGUCGUGAAGAGGGAAACAACCCAGACCGCCAGCUAAGGUCCCAAAGUCAUGGUUAAGUGGGAAACGAUGUGGGAAGGCACAGACAGCCAGGAUGUUGGCUUAGAAGCAGCCAUCAUUUAAAGAAAGCGUAAUAGCUCACUGGUCGAGUCGGCCUGCGCGGAAGAUGUAACGGGGCUAAACCAUGCACCGAAGCUGCGGCAGCGACACUAUGUGUUGUUGGGUAGGGGAGCGUUCUGUAAGCCUGCGAAGGUGUGCUGUGAGGCAUGCUGGAGGUAUCAGAAGUGCGAAUGCUGACAUAAGUAACGAUAAAGCGGGUGAAAAGCCCGCUCGCCGGAAGACCAAGGGUUCCUGUCCAACGUUAAUCGGGGCAGGGUGAGUCGACCCCUAAGGCGAGGCCGAAAGGCGUAGUCGAUGGGAAACAGGUUAAUAUUCCUGUACUUGGUGUUACUGCGAAGGGGGGACGGAGAAGGCUAUGUUAGCCGGGCGACGGUUGUCCCGGUUUAAGCAUGUAGGCUGGUUGUCCAGGCAAAUCCGGAUAAUCAAGGCUGAGGUGUGAUGACGAGGCACUACGGUGCUGAAGUAACAAAUGCCCUGCUUCCAGGAAAAGCCUCUAAGCAUCAGGUAACAUCAAAUCGUACCCCAAACCGACACAGGUGGUCAGGUAGAGAAUACCAAGGCGCUUGAGAGAACUCGGGUGAAGGAACUAGGCAAAAUGGUGCCGUAACUUCGGGAGAAGGCACGCUGGUGUGUAGGUGAAGUCCCUGCGGAUGGAGCUGAGACCAGUCGAAGAUACCAGCUGGCUGCAACUGUUUAUUAAAAACACAGCACUGUGCAAACACGAAAGUGGACGUAUACGGUGUGACGCCUGCCCGGUGCCGGAAGGUUAAUUGAUGGGGUUAUCCGUAAGGAGAAGCUCUUGAUCGAAGCCCCGGUAAACGGCGGCCGUAACUAUAACGGUCCUAAGGUAGCGAAAUUCCUUGUCGGGUAAGUUCCGACCUGCACGAAUGGCGUAAUGAUGGCCAGGCUGUCUCCACCCGAGACUCAGUGAAAUUGAACUCGCUGUGAAGAUGCAGUGUACCCGCGGCAAGACGGAAAGACCCCGUGAACCUUUACUAUAGCUUGACACUGAACAUUGAGCCUUGAUGUGUAGGAUAGGUGGGAGGCUUUGAAGCGUGGACGCCAGUCUGCGUGGAGCCAACCUUGAAAUACCACCCUUUAAUGUUUGAUGUUCUAACGUUGGCCCCUGAGCGGGGUUGCGGACAGUGUCUGGUGGGUAGUUUGACUGGGGCGGUCUCCUCCCAAAGCGUAACGGAGGAGCACGAAGGUUAGCUAAUCCUGGUCGGACAUCAGGAGGUUAGUGCAAUGGCAUAAGCUAGCUUGACUGCGAGCGUGACGGCGCGAGCAGGUGCGAAAGCAGGUCAUAGUGAUCCGGUGGUUCUGAAUGGAAGGGCCAUCGCUCAACGGAUAAAAGGUACUCCGGGGAUAACAGGCUGAUACCGCCCAAGAGUUCAUAUCGACGGCGGUGUUUGGCACCUCGAUGUCGGCUCAUCACAUCCUGGGGCUGAAGUAGGUCCCAAGGGUAUGGCUGUUCGCCAUUUAAAGUGGUACGCGAGCUGGGUUUAGAACGUCGUGAGACAGUUCGGUCCCUAUCUGCCGUGGGCGCUGGAGAAUUGAGGGGGGCUGCUCCUAGUACGAGAGGACCGGAGUGGACGCAUCACUGGUGUUCGGGUUGUCAUGCCAAUGGCACUGCCCGGUAGCUAAAUGCGGAAGAGAUAAGUGCUGAAAGCAUCUAAGCACGAAACUUGCCCCGAGAUGAGUUCUCCCUGAGACUUUAAGUCUCCUGAAGGAACGUUGAAGACGACGACGUUGAUAGGCCGGGUGUGUAAGCGCAGCGAUGCGUUGAGCUAACCGGUACUAAUGAACCGUGAGGCUUAACCUU
rnacentral:rRNA from 1 species